GGGUGUAGCUUAGGGGUAGAGUGUCUGCUUUGCAAGUGUGAGGUCCUGGGUUGAAUCCCCAGCUCCA
rnacentral:tRNA from 1 species